rnacentral:rRNA from 1 species
CACGUAGGGCGCGAGCGUUGUCCGGAAUUAUUGGGCGUAAAGAGCUCGUAGGCGGCCUGUUGCGUCCGCUGUGAAAGCCCGGGGCUUAACCCCGGGUCGGCAGUGGAUACGGGCAGGCUAGAGGUAGGCAGGGGAGAAUGGAAUUCCCGGUGUAGCGGUGAAAUGCGCAGAUAUCGGGAGGAACACCGGUGGCGAAGGCGGUUCUCUGGGCAUGUCCUGACGCUGAGGAGCGAAAGUGUGGGGAGCGAACAGG